AUGCAAGAGUGAUCGUAAUAGUUUUUGUAUGUUACUUGUUGUUUGAGUUUGUGAUUUUUCUUUGUGGGCUAUGCUUCCGGAGAUUUUAAGUUGUUUCUGUCGGUUUUAGACUCUCACCUUUGUAUAUUUUUCAGUUUUAUCAAUCAAAAUCUGAUGGUAGAAAAAGUAUCUAAAUAAUUAUGGAUAUUAUAUUUAUUUAGUUUUGGCUCAUGUUGACUCGGACGGUCGGUAUAGGAUUUUGUUACAGAAAUAGAUAGAAUAAAUUUAUAUCCCAUAUAAGACACUAUAAUAACCAUUAAUAAUUUUUUAUGUCCAUAAGUGAUUUAUAAAACAUUAAAAAGAAUUUUAAUAUUUUUUAUAUAAUCACAUAUUAGGAUUAUUGAAAAUGUUAUAAGGGG
rnacentral:lncRNA from 1 species